GCGCGAAACCUUUACACUGCACGACAGUGCGAUAGGGGGAUUCCGAGUGCGAGGGCAUACAGUCCUCGCUUUUCUGUACCGUAAGGUGGUACAGGAAUAAGGGCUGGGCAAGACCGGUGCCAGCCGCCGCGGUAAUACCGGCAGCUCGAGUGAUGACCGAUUUUAUUGGGCCUAAAGCGUCCGUAGCCGGCCAGGUAGGUCCGUCGGGAAAUCCACUCGCCUAACGAGUGGGCGUCCGGCGGAUACCGCCUGGCUUGGGAUCGGGAGACCAGAGGGGUACGUCUGGGGUAGGAGUGAAAUCCUGUAAUCCUGGACGGACCAUCGGUGGCGAAAGCGCCUCUGGAGAACGAAUCCGACGGUGAGGGACGAAAGCUAGGGUCUCGAACCGGAUUAGAUACCCCCGUAGUCC
rnacentral:rRNA from 1 species